GGGGCUGACCGGUUUUGACAGCAUAGUUCUUUGUAAGUAUAAGCAUGUAGCGCGUUGCGUAAUUAGCGCUUUAAUCUGAAUACGCAAACCUUUAAAUGGCAAUAACAAUUUUGCCUUGGCUGCCUAAGCGAUAGUUUAGCAUCCAAUAUGGCCGUUGGUCAGGCAGGCUCGUUGCCGCGACCCUCCGCCCAAUCAAAUAAAGAAAACGGGCUGCUGCCAUCCCAGGCUGUGCGGAUGGCUUAAGACCUAUACAGCUAAGGAGAAGGUUGGUUCGUUUUGCCCCUGCCUAUCCUGACAAAUAAUGCAAGACUAAACAUGUAGAAGGCUUAUAACGGAUAUGUUUGGACCAGGGUUCGACUCCCUGCAGCUCCACUC
rnacentral:tmRNA from 1 species